UUCAUGAUGGCACACUACUUCACCAGUUUUAGAAAAAGGCGCCAUGCACCGUGUUUGUGUAACCGCCGCGAUAUGUGAGGGAAGAAACAAACAAGAAGAGGAUAACGGAGUGAGACGUUUGGAUGAUUACAUGAGUCAUUAUGUGCUGCAGACGACGAAUCAAGAUCAGUACAGUUUUGUUUCUGGAGAUACAAUGUGGAGACCAGACAGACCAGUACUGAAGAGGUAACAAACCAAAGGAUGAGGACAGUAGUUUUUCUGUGCCAGCCGUGAUACAUACAGAAACAUCCUUUGUGAAGAUGUGUUAGAGAAGCUUACAAGGCAAGAUUUAGUUUUUUAUAUAUGAAAAAUAGGGAUAUUUAUAUAUUUUUUGUAAUUGGUAGAGUUAUGUUUUAUUCCCUGUAACAGUAGGAAUAAUGCAUUUUGUAAAAAUGUAAUCUAUUUUUAAAGCCCAGUGUCAAUGAAGAUGACGUGUUCAGUGGUGGUCAGAUGUGGUCAAAAGUUUACACACACAUUGCAGAAUAUACUGCUUCAUCAGAGUAGUAAUUGUAUUUUUUUAAGUUAUUCUACCUCUCUACUCUCUUACUGCUUAAAUUAUUAACAUUUUGCUGAUAAAGCAAGGUGUAUAUAAACUUUAGACUGCAACUGUGUCUAUUGCUUUCCCUCAACUGAACCAUUUAUAAUGGCUGGAAAUGUUUUAUAACAAUUGUUCUUCUUUCCUCAAGGAAUUUUUUUGGACUUUCCUGCCUCUUUGGAUAAUUUUUCCGUUCACACAGACUGUGGAGAGAUGGUCUGCAGCUUCAUGAUGUGUGAAGUUUAGUGUCGAUGAAGAGCUUCUGGGACAUCGACAGACAGCACAUCCCAGCAAAUUAAUUUUGAGUUUUUUUUUUUUUUUAUUAAUUAAUUUAUUUAGUGAAACUUGCAUUCACUAAUGCUGUAGUAAGAUUUGAGAAGAAAACUUUCAGUCCUGUUUAAUGUUGGUGCUAGUAAAGGUUUAGACUAAGCCAGGAUCAUAGUUCAAUAAGAACAUUUAAGUCAUUUUCUUUGACAGAAAAAACAUUACUGGUGUGCAUCUUGAGACAAAACAAAGGCACUGGUAUUUUUAUAGAUCAGUCAGUGCAAGUUUCUAUCAGUUGAAACAGCUCAGAAUUACAUUUUAGUCUUAGGCUAGUCUUAGUCCUUGUCUGUGAAUCCAGGGGUACAAGUAACCCACUUUGGUAAUGUUUUACAAUAAGGUCUUAUUUGCUGUACAUGGAUAGAUUAUUUUCUUUCUUUCUUUUGUAUUAAAUGAGUGUCAUUAGUGUGUUAGUAAUCCUAUAUGUUAUGGCGACCAAAUGACUCCACAAGUAUAGAGAUACAAGUAAAUUUUGACCUUGUGGACAUUUUUAGGUCCCCGAUGAGGAAACCGGUUUACACAUCUUGUUUUCUGUGAUGGUGAAAUUAGCAUUGUUCUCCAGACUCUUUCUAAUAAGUGAGUUGAAGCGUUGUAACUGUAUAUUGUUGGGUUUUUCUUGUGUAUCAGCAAAAAGCAUUUUUUUUUUGUAUUUGUUUAGGAGAUUGAUUUGUCAAUAAAUGU